rnacentral:rRNA from 1 species
UACGGGGGGGGCAAGCGUUGUUCGGAAUUACUGGGCGUAAAGGGCGCGUAGGCGGACAGUUUAGUCAGAGGUGAAAGCCCAGGGCUCAACCUUGGAACUGCCUUUGAUACUGGCUGUCUUGAGUUCAGGAGAGGUGAGUGGAAUGCCGAGUGUAGAGGUGAAAUUCGUAGAUAUUCGGCGGAACACCAGUGGCGAAGGCGACUCACUGGCCCGAUACUGACGCUGAGGCGCGAAAGCGUGGGGAGCAAACAGG